UGCCUGCACAGCCAGUACACAAAUAUCCCAGUUCUAUUCAAACUUAUCACUAAAAGUUGUUUCUAAUGUUCAAAGGGUAUUUCAAGCUCACUGUCUCUCUUUGUUACACGGUGACAUUGAUUCAGGAGCUGGAGGGCCGUCAUGUCCAAACAUAUAGGCUGAGCAGUCGCCUCUCCCCAGCUGCCAUUGCUGCCUCAGAGAAGGGACUGAUUACAACUCCACAUGUGACAUCUGUGACAUCACCAGGGAUCACGGCUCGUGGUUUGGGAACCCCUGGCGUUAGAGACAGUUCCACCUAUCACCUGUCACAACAACCUACCACAUCCUGCACAAAUCUCCAAACAACCUAUCUAUCCAACCAUUCAAGCACCAUGUGCCCUGCAUAUGGCAGAGUCUGAAGAUCACAUAUUGGACUUAUCAGCCAUUUCAGAACUCACUGAACUGGAUUUGAAAUAUUGACUCAAGGGAAACAACUUCAGGUGGUUUGGAAAGAAGGUCACUACUUGGUCUCUAAGAAAGUGUAAAUAAAGAGAAGGUAUACAGUAAUGAAUUAUUGGAAAGCAAGGGCUGAUAUUCAAGCACUUUCAAAAAAAAAUAGACAAUACUAAUAUGGACAUGUGAGCUCUUUCUGUUUAGCUAUAAAUAUAUUUGAAGCUAUUCCCACUGUCUCACAACUUUCAUAAACAGCAAUGAAUAGAAGAUCAAUAAAAAAAGAUUCAGUGAAACAUUUUGCUGAAGCAAGAAACAAUAUGGAUGAAAAGAGACUUUAAUGCUAACAAAAUGAGCUGUGAAUCUUAUGAUGUCUCAUUCUAUCUCAGCACGACUUCACUCUGAAUAAGCAGAAAACAAAUAAAAAGUUAACAAAACCAUUCUAUUGUAAUUAAAGUGCUGAUCUUUUAAAAUCAUGUACAUAUCAGAUACUGCAAGGAUAGGCAUUGUAUCUCCUUGUUCUUAUUGUCUUGGCUCAUAAGUUGCAACUGGCACUGUUACAUCAUGGCCUGUGUAAUCAUGAUAAUGUUAAGAAAAUAGACUGGUGAUUGCAGUCUUUGGCUCAAUAAGAAUAUAACUAAUUGCACUCCUACCUAGGAUACUCCUUUUUGUACUGUAUUCAUUUUUCUAAACCACCUUCAAAAAUUUUGACACAAAGAUUUUACUUUUUCUUACCUAUAGAUUACUUUACUUAAUCGCAUACUCCUAUAUAGCUUAAUUCUCCUAAUGGACAUGCUACCAUUAUAAUGGAGCUCAAUUCUUUUAGGAAUGAAGAGUAGUGGUUUUCCACCCACAGAAAUACUCAUGUGAAUUAAUGUCUCAGCUACCCAAUACAUUAACUGGUGGGCAGGUCUUUUUGUACUGAUUGUAAUGUUUUGUAAUUGGCAGUAAUAACAAACUUGCCAAAACAAAUUGCUACAAUCUUAGCUCUAAUUAUACGACUAACCUAAUGUUAAAAGGGUUGUAUGAGAAACAUUAAUCAAGACUAUGCAGAAUAAAGUGCCAUUUUAUAUUACAUAUUGGAAGAAGUGUCAUUAUUUAACACACUGAAAUGUGUCUGCUCUUCAAGUAAGAGUGCAAGUUAAUCAGCUCCUUCAAUUUCAACAGCUGUCAUUAUCUCUGAAGUUGUUUUAUUUACACUGACCUUGACCUUUUGUUAUAUUUGUGUCAACAAACUGGUUAUCACCCAAAUAAACGGGCUAUUACAUUUCAGCUCA